rnacentral:sRNA from 1 species
UGCGUGAGAGACUGACGCAGGGCAUGGA